UACUUUCGGAAAACAUCCAUAUACGAGCAAAACGAUUAUCGUACGAACCCGAAAACAGAAACUCGCGAAAAACCAUCCUACCUCAAAACAGAUCAACUCCACACUAGCUUAUCAAACAAAGAAACUUCGUCACAUUGACUAAGGCAUCGCCGGAAUCAAAAGAUUCCUCCAACCACAAAAACACAUUCACAACAUAUCUCGGCCGCACCGUCGCUUCCGACUCCCGACCAGAACACAAGAACCCGGUAUCAUAUACUCAAAACAUUAAUAACACAAAGUAUGUUUUUGAAAGAAUAAACGAGAUGUCGCCUAGAUCUUCGAGAACAUGCUCUCAGUCCAUUUGCGACUAUAAAUUACAAACGCUCGUCGAUUGGCCCCGACAAGAACUUUAGCCA
rnacentral:lncRNA from 1 species